rnacentral:misc_RNA from 1 species
AUCGCCGUGCUGAAAGGGACUAUGAUCAUACUGAGCUAGAGGAUGACCAUGGUUGGUAUGAACAACCUGAGCAGGGGCACAGGCAGCCAGAUGCAGAGCAUGAUCAGCGUUAUGAUCAUUAUGAACGUCCCCGAAGUAGGGGACAAUAUGAUCAUAUGGAUGUUCGAGGUGACCAUGACCGUUAUGAUCAAUAUCCUGACCAUGAUCAUGAUCGUUAUGAUCAAAUGGAUGACGAUGAUUAUCACUAUGAUCGUGGAGCAUCUGAGUCACAUGAAAGAGAUCGUGAAUAUCGGCGCUCAAAGAGAUCACUUUCCCAGGACUAUGAUAACUGAAAGUGCAAGUUUGCUGUAAUCCUGCUGUUAUGCUUUAUCGGUAAGGUCACUGAAUUUAACAGAAGCCCUUUUUGCUCUAUAUUGCUCUGUCUUUCCUGCCUAAUUUG